rnacentral:rRNA from 1 species
GCAUAUCAAUAAGCGGAGGAAAAGAAACCAACCGGGAUUGCCUCAGUAACGGCGAGUGAAGCGGCAAGAGCUCAAAUUUGAAAUCUGGCCCCCCUGGGGGUCCGAGUUGUAAUUUGGAGAGGAUGCUUCGGGUACGGUGCCCAUCUAAGUGCCCUGGAACGGGCGGUCAUAGAGGGUGAGAAUCCCGUAUGGGAUGGGCGGCCGUGCCCGUGUGAAGCUCCUUCGACGAGUCGAGUUGUUUGGGAAUGCAGCUCUAAGCGGGUGGUAAAUUUCAUCUAAAGCUAAAUACUGGCCGGAGACCGAUAGCGCACAAGUAGAGUGAUCGAAAGAUGAAAAGCACUUUGAAAAGAGAGUUAAACAGCACGUGAAAUUGUUGAAAGGGAAGCGUUGGCCACCAGACGCGCCCGGGAGGGUUCAGCCGGCACUUGUGCCGGUGUACUCCCCCCCGGGUGGGCCAGCAUCGGUUUGGGCGGUCGCUGAAAGGCCCCGGGAAUGUAGCACCCUCCGGGGUGCCUUAUAGCCCGGGGUGUCAUGCGGCCCGCCUGGACCGAGGCCCGCGCUUCGGCGAGGAUGCUGGCGUAAUGGUGGUCAACGGCCCGUCUUGAAACACGGACCAAGGAGUCUAACAUCUAUGCGAGUGUUCGGGUGUCAAACCCGUCCGCGCAGUGAAAGCGAACGCAGGUGGGAACCCCUUCCGGGGUGCACCAUCGACCGAUCCUGAUGUCUUCGGAUGGAUUUGAGUAAGAGCAUAGCUGUUGGGACCCGAAAGAUGGUGAACUAUGCCUGAAUAGGGCGAAGCCAGAGGAAACUCUGGUGGAGGCUCGCAGCGGUUCUGACGUGCAAAUCGAUCGUCAAAUUUGGGUAUAGGGGGCGAAAGACUAAUCGAACCAUCUGGUAGCUGGUUCCUGCCGAG